GCGCCCGUGGCUCAGUUGGCAGAGCGGUGGGACGGUACCCCACGGCCACGGUCUCGGGUUCAAGUCCCGGCGGUCGCU